UGCCGGUGUGAGUAACGAAAAUUGGGUGAGAAUCCCAUUCACCGUUUGACUAAGGUUUCCUGGGUAAAGUUCGUCUUCCCAGGGUUAGUCAGGACCUAAGAUGAGGCUGAAAAGCGUAGUCGAUGGACAACAGGUUUAUAUUCCUGUACCACCUAUGUAACUGAUGGAGUGACGGAGAAAGCUAAUGAGAGCCAGUUAUUGGAUUCUGGUCUAAGUGCGUAGGCUAGUAUGUUGGGAAAUCCGCAAUACUAUUACAGCUGAAACAUGAUGGGGAAGUGAUCCUUCGGGUGAGCAAACUUUCAUGAUGCUACGCUUCCAAGAAAAGCUUCUAGGGCUAAUUGCAUAGGUGCCUGUACCGACAACCGACACAGGUGGUCAAGGAGAGUAUCCUAAGGUGAGCGAGAGAACUAUGGUUAAGGAACUCGGCAAAAUGACCCCGUAACUUCGGGAGAAGGGGUGGUCUAGCAAUAGACCCGCAGUGAAUAGGCCCAGGCAACUGUUUACCAAAAACACAGGUCUCUGCUAACACGUAAGUGGAUGUAUAGGGGCUGACGCCUGCCCAGUGCUGGAAGGUUAAAGAGAUUAGUUAGUAUGACGUAAGUCGAUAAUACGAAGCUUUGAACUGAAGCCCCAGUGAACGGCGGCCGUAACUAUAACGGUCCUAAGGUAGCGAAAUUCCUUGUCAGGUAAGUUCUGACCCGCACGAAAGGCGUAAUGAUCUGGGUACUGUCUCAACCAUAGACUCGGUGAAAUCUUAAUACCUGUGAAAAUGCAGGUUACCCGCGACUGGACGGUAAGACCCCGUGGAGCUUUACUGUAGCUUGAUAUUGGAAUUCGGUAAACUAUGUAGAGCAUAGGUGGGAGACUAUGAGAUUAAGGCGCCAGCCUUAAAGGAGUCACCAUUGGAAUACCACCCUUAGUUUAUUGGAUUUCUAACCUAGGACCAUAAUCUGGUUCAGGGACAGUGUCUGGUGGGCAGUUUGACUGGGGCGGUCGCCUCCUAAAGAGUAACGGAGGCGUUCAAAGGUUCCCUCAGAAUGGUUGGAAAUCAUUCAAAGAGCAUAAAGGUAUAAAGGGAGCUUGACUGCAAGACCUACAAGUCAAGCAGGUGCGAAAGCAGGACUUAGUGAUCAGGCGAUUCAGAAUGGAAUGGUCGUCGCUUAACGGAUAAAAGUUACCCCGGGGAUAACAGGCUGAUACCACCCAAUAGUUCACAUAGACGGUGGUGUUUGGCACCUCGAUGUCGGCUCGUCAUAUCCUGGAGGUGGAGUCGCUUCCAAGGGUUGGGCUGUUCGCCCAUUAAAAUGGCACGCGAGCUGGGUUCAGAACGUCGUGAGACAGUUCGGUCCCUAUCCGUCGU
rnacentral:rRNA from 1 species